GACAGAGGGGGCAAGCGUUGCUCGGAAUUACUGGGCGUAAAGGGCGCGUAGGCGGGAUGGCAAGUCGGUCGUGAAAUCCCUCGGCUCAACUGAGGAUCGUCGAUCGAUACUGCCGUUCUUGAGGAUUGCAGAGGAGACUGGAAUUCCCGGUGUAGCGGUGAAAUGUGUAGAGAUCGGGAGGAACACCGGUGGCGAAGGCGGGUCUCUGGGCCGAUACUGACGCUGAAGCGCGAAAGCCAGGGGAGCGAACGGG
rnacentral:rRNA from 1 species